GGAAACCCUCUGGGUCUCCAGCCCAGGCAGUUGCAGCCAGGCCCCCGGCUACUCUGGCCUCCAGGAUCUGGGGAGCAUGGAGCAGCUUCUGGGAGCUCACUGACUGGGGCCAUUAGCAACUGGACAUUCUGGGCUGGGGUCUGAGGCUGAGCAGAGGGGCCUGGUGGGUGGAGAAGGGUGGAGGGAGGUGAAAUUCUGGUGCACGCAGAAGCCAACAAUCCUAUUGUGCCUGGUGAGCAACCUGUGUUGAGGUGGUGUGCCCGUUCCCCUGCCUUAAGGAGGGGCUUCAGUCCCCAGAGGGAGAAGACUUCGGCUCUGGGCGCCUUCCCUGGGGGGCAUGGGACACUCCCCUGCAUUGUGACCUUGGGCCUUUAUCCUCUGGGUUUCUCUGGUCCAGCAGGCCUGGCCAGGGCAAGGCUGGGCACGUGCAGGCCAGUCUGCAGACCUAGUGCUCAGGAGCGGUCACGGAGCACCUCCUCUGGCCUCCAGGAGUGCAUCACAGGCUGAAGAGGCAGCCGUGCUUGAGCCCAGAAUGGAGGAGAAGUCGGGAGGGCUGGGCUGGGACACAGAAGGAUCCACAGAAGAGGCAGGCUCUAUACUGGUUCAUCUUGGGCCAGGCACUGGCAUCAGGGGCCUCAGUCCUUUAAGUCCAUACGAGGGGCAGGAGUCCUGGGAGAGGCUUGCCAGGGCAUCCCCUGAGCCUGGACAGCAUGGGCCAGGACCAGCGUCCCUGCCUCAGCCACUGCUCAGCUCCCCUCCCUUGGCCUCCUCUGGCUGAGGGGGAUAUUUACUGAGGGUAGGGGGGUGGCCUGAAGAUGGGGAGCAGUGAGGGGUUGGGGAGGAGGAGAGAGAUGGGUGAGGAGGAGGAGAACAAAGAGACAGUGGGUACGUAGAGGAAAAGGAGAGAGAAGGGAGGAAGGCAGGUGGCCCCCCAGCUGCAGGCCUUCCCUGCUGGCACACAGGGCGCCUCCCUGGGCACCACCCUCCUGCCCUUCUCCGGGGUCCUCCCACGGGGUCUGGGUAAGGGCAGCACACCCUCCGGGCCAUCCUGUGUCCCUCGUGCCUCUCCCUUGCCCUCAGCACCCAGGCCAGCAGAAAGGAGCCUCCUGGCUUGGGGGUUCUGGCUUAGUGACUGCUGUCAUUGGGGCUGCUCCCGGGGGCCCUCACUCGGCCCUGCUCCUGGGUGAUCUUGCAGCCACAGCUCCCAGCCCUGUGCUGGCAAAGCACUGGGUGUGCCUGACCCCUGCAGGCUCUAGGAAGCUGGACCUAGGUCGCUACUGCCUUUGCCAGGCCCAGCCUGAGAUGCCCUUGGUGGCCACUGGGAGCCACUCCUCCAGGGUCUUACCUCUCUCAGACUAAACCUGAGUCCUGCCCCUGCCCCUGGGGAAACAGAGGCAGGCACUUCCUGCCCAGGCCCUGCUCUGGGUGAGUUGAGCUGGGGAUAGGGCCACACACCUCUCUGGGCAGCAGCUACACCCCUGAAGGAAUCAGGGGACAUUGGUGGUGACCUCUUCUGGGUUGCAACACUCAAAUGAGAGAUUCAUUCAUAGUCACAAAUGUGUGGUGUGUGUGUUCUGGGGUAUGUGUGUUGUGUGUGUGUGUGUGGCAGGUGUGUGGUCAUCCUGUGUUUGUGUGUGAGGAGAGGGCUGAGGCCAGGGCCCCAGAAAUGGCCCUGCUUGACCGCCCCCGCCGUCCAGGAACCUGCUUCCUUCUGGGUGGUGCUGGCUAAGUAGGGAAGGGGCCACUCACCUGUGCUGUCUGAGAAAUGGACUCGGGGCUUGUAUCAGGCAGGGCUGUGUCCACGUGAAAUGUGGGCAGGGCACUGGUGGGUGGUGGUGGGUCUCAGGGCUGGUGGUCAGGAGUACAGGUUCAUGGGCUGCGGAGGGGCAGCUGGGGCAUGUGAGCCGGGGUGGGCCCCUCCCCCAUGGAUCUGGGGGCUGGCUCCUGGGGCCGCUGGGACCAUGGCAGGACUAAUCACGGAGGGCUCUGAGGGCUGUCCUGGGACUAGGGAGGCCACAUCACUGUGGUGUGUCUGGGUGUCCAUGGGUAAUGGAGAGGAUGCUUAGGCUUGGCCGUGCAGCACUGUGUGCAGGAGGACAGGUGUGUGAGUGUGGCUAUGUAAGUGCAGGGUGUGUGUGUAUGAGUCUGUGUGCACAUAACACAUGUAUGCGUGUGUGUGCACACCUGACCCUCUCUGGGUGUCUGGGUGGCUCCAUGAGCAGUGAUGGCCUCAGCUUUUCCAGGCGCAGUCAUUCUUGAGGAAGCAUCAUCGGAUUUGGGCCCUGAUCCUCCCUGAUCAGUCUCUUCCUGUCUGGCGUCACCCCGGCCAUCUGUGCUCUAAACCUGAGCCUCAGCUCCCCAUGCCCCUCACCCGCCCCCACCUCCUGCAGCUCCCCAGCUCUCUCUGGCUGUGGUGGGGGCAACCUCUCUUCUCUGGCCUUCACCCUAUGCUGAAUACAUGUCCCUCUUCCAGAUUAUAAAACUGGGCAGCAGCUGGCCUCUCUCAGCUGCUCCCAGGCCCCGUCUCAGGGAGGAGGAGCCCUGGCAGGGCCUGGGGUGACAGGGGAGAGGAGGGAACCUCCUCCUUCCUC
rnacentral:lncRNA from 1 species